AAGCGAAGGUCCCAGCAGGGAGGCAGGACUCUGAAUUGAGGCCUCUCUAACAACAAUAGAAAUUACCUUCGCAGAUUAAUCUGCCGAAUCGUAGGAUGCCCUGAAUUUUCCAUUUUUGUGGCGUCCGGAACCCUCGGCUAUAUCUUU
rnacentral:snoRNA from 9 species